UCACAAGUAGAAUUGCUGGUUAUUGAUGAAGCGGCAGCUAUACCUUUGCCAGUUGUGAAGUCCUUGCUUGGUCCUUAUCUUGUAUUCCUCUCUUCAACAGUGAAUGGGUAUGAAGGUACAGGAAGGUCAUUAUCUUUAAAACUGUUGCAGCAACUUGAGCAACAAGAUCGGAUUUCAAGCCAAAGUGUGGAUACUGGUGUUUCAGGCCGAUUGAAAAAGAUUGAAUUAAGUGAAGCAAUCAGAUAUGCCUCUGGCGAUCCAAUUGAAUCCUGGCUUCAUUCAUUGCUGUGUUUGGAUGCAACAAAUUCCAUUCCUAGUAUAAGCAGGCUACCUCCACCCAGUGAAUGUGAUCUGUAUUAUGUGAAUCGAGACACCCUGUUCUCCUAUCAUAGGGACAGUGAAUUAUUUAUGCAGAGGAUGAUGGCUCUCU